rnacentral:rRNA from 1 species
CAGUAGCCGCGGUAAUACGUAGGGUGCAAGCGUUAAUCGGAAUUACUGGGCGUAAAGCGUGCGCAGGCGGUUUGUUAAGACAGAUGUGAAAUCCCCGGGCUCAACCUGGGAACUGCAUUUGUGACUGGCAAGCUAGAGUGUGGCAGAGGGGGGUGGAAUUCCGCGUGUAGCAGUGAAAUGCGUAGAUAUGCGGAGGAACACCGAUGGCGAAGGCAGCCCCCUGGGCCAACACUGACGCUCAUGCACGAAAGCGUGGGGAGCAAACAGGAUUAGAUACCCGAGUAGUCCCUGUCUCUUAUAC